rnacentral:misc_RNA from 1 species
GUAGGGAACCUGGGAAGGAUCAUUGUUGAAUCCGCAGACGACCGCGAACACGUUAACCAAAAGCGCGGGACGCUGGCCGUCAGGCCGGCUCCCGCACCAAACCUAACUCUCGGCGCGGAAAGCGCCAAGGACUACUCAAACGGACUGCCCCUUCCUCGCCAAGGCUUCCUCGGCGGGGAGGACGCGUCUGAAACGUAACCAAUACGACUGUCGGCAACGGAUAUCUAGGCUCUCGCAUCGAUGAAGAACGUAGCAAAAUGCGAUACUUGGUGUGAAUUGCAGAAUCCCGUGAAUCAUCGAGUUUUUGAACGCAAGUUGCGCCCGAAGCCACUCGGCCGAGGGCACGUCUGCCUGGGCGUCACGCAUCUCGUCACCGCCCCAUUCCUAAGUCCUGGACUCGGAACGGCGCGCGGUGGAUGUUGGCCUCCCGUUCCCCUAGCGGCGCGGAUGGCCUAAAUUCGAGUCCCCGGACAAGGGACGUCACGACUAAAGGUGGUUGAAUUCUCAUUCAUUCUCGCUCUAGCGUCCUGACGGCCCCCGUGGGAACUGAACAAGCCCUAAA